rnacentral:rRNA from 1 species
CUGGCUCAGGACGAACGCUGGCGGCGUGCCUAAUACAUGCAAGUCGAGCGGACGGAUGGGAGCUUGCUCCCGGAAGUCAGCGGCGGACGGGUGAGUAACACGUGGGCAACCUGCCUGUAAGACUGGGAUAACUUCGGGAAACCGGAGCUAAUACCGGAUAAUUCUUUCCCUCACAUGAGGG